CCUACGGGAGGCAGCAGUGAGGAAUAUUGGUCAAUGGACGAGAGUCUGAACCAGCCAAGUAGCGUGAAGGAUGACUGCCCUAUGGGUUGUAAACUUCUUUUAUAAAGGAAUAAAACGAGGCACGUGUGCCUUUUUGCAUGUACUUUAUGAAUAAGGAUCGGCUAACUCCGUGCCAGCAGCCGCGGUAAUACGGAGGAUCCGAGCGUUAACCGGAUUUAUUGGGUUUAAAGGGAGCGUAGAUGGGUGGUGAAGUUCGUUGUGAAAGUUUGCGGCUCAACCGGAAAAUUGCAAUUGAAACUGGCAGUCUUGAGUACAGUUGAGGUAGGCGGAAUUCGUGGUGUAGCGGUGAAAUGCUUAGAUAUCACGAAGAACCCCGAUUGCGAAGGCAGCUUACUAAACUGUGACUGACAUUGAUGCUCGAAAGUGUGGGUAGCAAACAGGAUUAGAUACCCCUGUAGUC
rnacentral:rRNA from 1 species